GGGCCGGUAGCUCAGCCCGGUAGAGCGGCGGCGGGCUGCUGACCCGUAGGACCCGGGUUCAAGUCCCGGCCGGCCCGCCA
rnacentral:tRNA from 1 species